CCUACGGGAGGCAGCAGUAGGGAAUCUUCCACAAUGGGCGAAAGCCUGAUGGAGCAACGCCGCGUGGGUGAAGCAGGUCUUCGGAUCGUAAAACCCUGUUGUUAGAGAAGAAAGUGCGUGAGAGUAACUGUUCACGUUUCGACGGUAUCUAACCAGAAAGCCACGGCUAACUACGUGCCAGCAGCCGCGGUAAUACGUAGGUGGCAAGCGUUAUCCGGAUUUUUUGGGCGUAAAGGGAACGCAGGCGGUCUUUUAAGUCUGAUGUGAAAGCCUUCGGCUAAACCGGAGUAGUGCAUUGGAGACUGGGAGACUUGAGUGCAGAAGAGGAGAGUGGAACUCGAUGUGGAGCGGUGAAAUGCGUAGAGAUAUGGAAGAACACCAGUGGCGAAAGCGGCUCUCUGGUCUGUAACUGACGCUGAGGUUCGAAAGCGUGGGUAGCAAACAGGAUUAGAUACCCUUGUAGUC
rnacentral:rRNA from 1 species